GACGAACGCUGGCUGCGUGCUUAACACAUGCAAGUCGAACGCUGAAGCCUGGUGCUUGCACCGGGUGGAUGAGUGGCGAACGGGUGAGUAACACGUGAGUAACCUGCCCCUGACUUCGGGAUAAGCCCGGGAAACUGGGUCUAAUACCGGAUACGACUGCCGGACGCAUGUCUGGUGGUGGAAAGUUUUUUCGGUUGGGGAUGGGCUCGCGGCCUAUCAGUUUGUUGGUGAGGUAAUGGCUCACCAAGACGACGACGGGUAGCCGGCCUGAGAGGGCGACCGGCCACACUGGGACUGAGACACGGCCCAGACUCCUACGGGAGGCAGCAGUGGGGAAUAUUGCACAAUGGGGGAAACCCUGAUGCAGCGACGCAGCGUGCGGGAUGACGGCCUUCGGGUUGUAAACCGCUUUCAGCAGGGAAGAAGCGCAAGUGACGGUACCUGCAGAAGAAGUACCGGCUAACUACGUGCCAGCAGCCGCGGUAAUACGUAGGGUACGAGCGUUGUCCGGAAUUAUUGGGCGUAAAGAGCUCGUAGGUGGUUGGUCACGUCUGCUGUGGAAACGCAACGCUUAACGUUGCGCGUGCAGUGGGUACGGGCUGACUAGAGUGCAGUAGGGGAGUCUGGAAUUCCUGGUGUAGCGGUGAAAUGCGCAGAUAUCAGGAGGAACACCGGUGGCGAAGGCGGGACUCUGGGCUGUAACUGACACUGAGGAGCGAAAGCAUGGGGAGCGAACAGGAUUAGAUACCCUGGUAGUCCAUGCCGUAAACGUUGGGCACUAGGUGUGGGGGGCAUUCCACGUUCUCCGCGCCGUAGCUAACGCAUUAGGUGCCCCGCCUGGGGAGUACGGUCGCAAGGCUAAAACUCAAAGGAAUUGACGGGGGCCCGCACAAGCGGCGGAGCAUGCGGAUUAAUUCGAUGCAACGCGAAGAACCUUACCAAGGCUUGACAUACACCGGACCGUCCUGGAAACAGGUCUUCUUCUUUGAAGCUGGUGUACAGGUGGUGCAUGGUUGUCGUCAGCUCGUGUCGUGAGAUGUUGGGUUAAGUCCCGCAACGAGCGCAACCCUCGUUCUAUGUUGCCAGCACGUGAUGGUGGGAACUCAUAGGAGACUGCCGGGGUCAACUCGGAGGAAGGUGGGGAUGACGUCAAAUCAUCAUGCCCUUUAUGUCUUGGGCUUCACGCAUGCUACAAUGGCUGGUACAGAGAGAGGCGAACCCGUGAGGGCAAGCGAAUCCCUUAAAGCCAGUCUCAGUUCGGAUCGUAGUCUGCAAUUCGACUACGUGAAGUCGGAGUCGCUAGUAAUCGCAGAUCAGCAACGCUGCGGUGAAUACGUUCCCGGGCCU
rnacentral:rRNA from 1 species